UUCUCUCUACCCUGUUCGCCGGUUGCAGUGCCCGGGCGGAAUAUUGAACAAAAAGGGGGUCGCUCCCUGCUGUGGUGUGCUGCCUUCAGUACGCGGGUUUGCCUGAAACAGUAUACUGACUCCCACGCUUAAGGAACUCGCUGGAGGCCCUUAAUGCUGACGGCAGGGUGGAGAGAAU
rnacentral:other from 1 species